UACGGGGGGGGCAAGCGUUGUUCGGAAUUACUGGACGUAAAGGGCGCGUAGGCGGUCCUGUAAGUCUUGUGUGAAAUCCCUCGGCUUAACUGGGGAACUGCACGAGAUACUGCGAGACUUGAGUUCGGGAGAGGAAAGCGGAAUUCCGGGUGUAGCGGUGAAAUGCGUAGAUAUCCGGAGGAAUACCGGUGGCGAAGGCGGCUUUCUGGACCGACACUGACGCUGAGGCGCGAAAGCUAGGGGAGCAAACGGG
rnacentral:rRNA from 1 species